AGAGAUUGCAAUGAGGAUACCAAGCUCCCUCUUCUGAAUUAAGCUGAGGACAAUUGCUGGCAGAAUCGAACCAUUAUAUCUAGCCACCACUGAGCAA
rfam:Beta vulgaris subsp. vulgaris Bvchr5.sca007.con0095.1, whole genome shotgun sequence.